rnacentral:rRNA from 1 species
UACGAAGGGGGCUAGCGUUGUUCGGAAUCACUGGGCGUAAAGGGCGCGUAGGCGGCUUUGUAAGUCGGGGGUGAAAGCCUGUGGCUCAACCACAGAAUUGCCUUCGAUACUGCAUGGCUUGAGACCGGAAGAGGUAAGUGGAACUGCGAGUGUAGAGGUGAAAUUCGUAGAUAUUCGCAAGAACACCAGAGGCGAAGGCGGCUUACUGGUCCGGUUCUGACGCUGAGGCGCGAAGGCGUGGGGAGCAAACAGG